GGUUUCCCUGAAAACAAGCAUGUGGUUUUUCUGACUCAGACUAGUGCCCUGCCCCCACACUCAAGCACCUUAAAGUCACUUUCCUUUGGAAGUCUGUGGCUUUCUUCAAGCAGAGAAGGACUGAGCCUGUUCCCCCUGGCUGGAAAUACAAACAAUGGAGAUUCAUAUAAGGAAUGGGAAAAGCUGUCCAAAGAACAACCAUGGAUAAAACAACUCAACCUCAAAGGGAAGGGUAUUCCUCCGGGAUUGAACAAAGAACAGAGGGAAGUGGUUGAACAGGCCAAUCUUACAGAGAAUGAAAAGAAGUUGUUUAACUAUGUUGUUGAGACAGCGUCUAGAAGACAAGAUGCCAGGCCACAAAACUUCUAAAAUACCACCAACAAAAAUUCCAAGAGAAGGCUGCAGAAUUGUGGCAGACAAGAAGAGGCGUGAACUGUCAUGUCCAGUGGCUCCCUCAGCUCAGUCUGUUCGUGCUUCCUCCAGUGACUCCAGGACACUCACAGGAUACUGGGCUGGGAUGCCAACAAGGGGAGUGUGCUGUUCCUCCACAGCUCAUGGCCAGACCCCAUGAAUCAGUGAAAUCUACAGAUGACGUCAAGCCUUGCCCUCAUGGAGAAUCCCUGAGAAUACAUAGACAAAGAUUGGAG